GGGAGCAAUCCUGGCGGCGAGUGGCGAACGGGUGAGUAAUACAUCGGAACGUGCCCAAUCGUGGGGGAUAACGCAGCGAAAGCUGUGCUAAUACCGCAUACGAUCUACGGAUGAAAGCAGGGGAUCGCAAGACCUUGCGCGAAUGGAGCGGCCGAUGGCAGAUUAGGUAGUUGGUGAGGUAAAGGCUCACCAAGCCUUCGAUCUGUAGCUGGUCUGAGAGGACGACCAGCCACACUGGGACUGAGACACGGCCCAGACUCCUACGGGAGGCAGCAGUGGGGAAUUUUGGACAAUGGGCGAAAGCCUGAUCCAGCCAUGCCGCGUGCAGGAUGAAGGCCUUCGGGUUGUAAACUGCUUUUGUACGGAACGAAAAGGUCUUUUCUAAUAAAGAAGGCUCAUGACGGUACCGUAAGAAUAAGCACCGGCUAACUACGUGCCAGCAGCCGCGGUAAUACGUAGGGUGCAAGCGUUAAUCGGAAUUACUGGGCGUAAAGCGUGCGCAGGCGGUUAUAUAAGACAGUUGUGAAAUCCCCGGGCUCAACCUGGGGAACUGCAUCUGUGACUGUAUAGCUAGAGUACGGUAGAGGGGGAUGGAAUUCCGCGUGUAGCAGUGAAAUGCGUAGAUAUGCGGAGGAACACCGAUGGCGAAGCAAUCCCCUGGACCUGUACUGACGCUCAUGCACG
rnacentral:rRNA from 1 species